UACGUAGGUGACAAGCGUUGUCCGGAUUUACUGGGCGUAAAGAGCGCGCAGGCGGUCGUUCAAGUCGAGUGUGAAAGCCCCCGGCUCAACUGGGGAGGGUCACUCGAUACUGAUCGACUCGAAGGCAGGAGAGGGAAGUGGAAUUCCCGGUGUAGUGGUGAAAUGCGUAGAUAUCGGGAGGAACACCAGUGGCGAAGGCGACUUCCUGGCCUGUUCUUGACGCUGAGGCGCGAAAGCUAGGG
rnacentral:rRNA from 1 species